CUCAAAGUACGAGUGUCCAAAACACUCCCUCUUACUGGAACUCAACCGGAUGACCAAACAAAGUGCUGCCGCUCUGCUCUCCUUCUUCCUGGUGCAGUAAACAGAAAAAAAAGGAGUGUUUUCUCAGACUAAGUAGGUCAUCAGCUCUUAUUGAACAGACCAUUUUUCCUGACAAUGGACAUCACCUACCCUGGGGAGGAAAACAGAGGACAAACUGCUCUCAGCAGACUUGUAUUGCUGCUGUUUCUUGCAGCCUGUCGGCCUGUGAUGUGUUUAAAUGAAGAGCAGAAGGACCUGGGAAACACAAAUGAUGGACCUGCCAACGUGUCAAUCUCAGGCCCUGAUCUCAUGAGUUCCGGAGGCAGCUACACCUACAUCUGUGACGCCCACUGUCGGCCAUCCUGCCUCUACAUGUGGAAGACGGAUGACGACCCGUGGUUUCGUGGUCAAGGGAAUGUCAUUUCUGUCACUCCUCGAAAUGAAAACACCAAAAAUCUCUCCUGCAAAGCCACCAACACCGUAUCUGGGCUGUUUGUCACCAUGACUCGAAGCAUAGGUCUGAUAACGGGCCCGUCCAAAGUGCAGAUCAAAGGCCCAGACGUUGUUGAAAUUGGCCAAGAGUACCAGUUUGUGUGUACGACCGGAUGCCACCCCCCGUGUCGCUACGUGUCGUCUGUGGGCAGUAAUGCAGUGAGAGGCAACGUGAUCGACAUGACAGUGGAUCAGCCACUGAAAUCAAUCACUAUCAAGUGUGAGGCACAAAACACUGCUUCAGGGUUGACAGUCACCGUUUUCAAAACUGUGCGCGUAGCAGGAGUCCAUCGCAGCCGAGCGACCUUCUUAGAGGUAACUCAGGUUGGACUGCUGGUUGCAUUUAUCAAUUCAGGUUUCUUCACUCUAUGAUCGAGCACAUACUGUACCGCUGUGGCAUUGUUGUAUACGGAAAAAAGAAAAAAAAUCAGAUUUUUCACAUCAUUUUAUUGAUCAGUGUACUUGUUUUCCAUCUGUGUUGAACCAAAGUCCUCACCAACAGUGAUCUCCUGUGUUUCAUGCUGAAUAAAGGUGGAGUCAGUUUAGGGACA
rnacentral:lncRNA from 1 species